CCGGCAGCGCGCCCCAGCCGCCGGCGACGGCAAAGCGCGGCGCGUUUGCCUGUCCAGUCAGCAUGCACGAUCUCCGUUAUUUUGUCGACGCCCUUGGUAGACAGACUGCUCUGCUCAUCAUCACUAGCGGGGAAAAAAGGGGGACGAUUUUGGAUGGGCAGUGAUCUGCGCCGGUGCGCCGACCCAACUGUUGGGCCGGUCGUAUCUGGAACGUUAGUUUGUCUUUUGCACACCGUCAAAUUCAGCCUUUGAAUCGUUUUUUUUUUCUCAAUAGAAAAUCAUGUCCAAUCCAAAAGAGCUAUUCGUCCUGGACACCCCGCCAUGGACUCUCCAGGGGCUGACCUUGAAGCAUCACCGGCUCGCCGCCGGUCGCCGUCCUCGCCCUCGGUUGCUGAUCGCCGGUCGCCGGUCACCGUCCACAUCGCCGUCGGUCGCCGUCCUCGCCGCCGGUCGCCGUCCAUCUUAGUCGUCGCCGUCGUAGCACCGCCAUGCCGUCGGCUGCAGCUCCCAGUGUCGCCGGGAGCCACCAUGCCAUGGUUGAAGCUUUUUGCGUCAUGGCCGGUCCCAAAUUCCAUUACCUUCGAUUGAAGCUUCCUAGGACGUUGGUUGUAGCAAGUGAUUCCAGCAAAAAAAUGAUCCAACAAAAAUAUCAAAAAUGGGGUAGUAGCAAAAACAAAAGAUGGUGGUAGCAAAAUACAAAGACCAUGGUAGCAAAACUUAAAGUGGUUCCAGCAAAAAUAAGAUGGAUCCAACAAAAAGUCAAAAACAGGGUGGUAGCAAAAACUAAGACGGCAGAAGCAAAUUUCAAAGACCAUGGUAACAAAAAGUUAGAGCGGUUCCAGCAAAAAGAUGGAUCUAAUUAAGGAAAAAAGUAUCAAAAAGACGGACUGCACGGUAGUAGCAAAAAACAAAAUGAUGGUAGCAAAGUUUUCGACUGGUUGCAGCAAAAGGCACUCAAACAAGGUGGAUCCCAGGAAAAAAUGCCGCUGAUUCUAGCAAAACAAGAAGCCAGAUGUAGCAAAAAAUACCACCGAUUGAAGCUCCCGCCGACACCAAUUCCAGCAUCUCGUCCGCUCGUGCACAACGUAGUCGUCGUUCCCGCACGGGUGGAGCACGACGACGCUCGCCGGAGCGGCAUGGCGACGGGUCGAGGACGAGGCUCUCGCCAGAGCAGCGUGGGGGCAGGUCAAAAGGCUGAAGAAAUGUGGAGGUAGGUAGAUGCAGCCCCUUGUUAGAGCAGCACGGGGGCAGGUGGAGGCGAGGAGGUCGCCGGAGCAGCGCAGGGCGAGGUGGAUGCAGCCGCUCGCCGAAAAUGCACGGGGCAAAUGGAGGCGGACGUCAUCGGAGCAAAGCAGGUCAUGGUUGAUUUGGGGGAAAACUGAGCGAAAG
rnacentral:rRNA from 1 species